rnacentral:rRNA from 1 species
CGGAACAGGUGAGUAAUGCGUGACCAACCUGCCCCAUGCUCCAGAAUAGCUCUUGGAAACGGGUGGUAAUGCUGGAUGCUCCAACUUGACGCAUGUCUUGUUGGGAAAGUGUUUAGUGGCAUGGGAUGGGGUCGCGUCCUAUCAGCUUGUAGGCGGGGUAAUGGCCCACCUAGGCUUCGACGGGUAGCCGGCCUGAGAGGGCGGACGGCCACAUUGGGACUGAGAUACGGCCCAGACUCCUACGGGAGGAGCAGAA